CAUUCGACUGUUNAUCGAAGGG
rnacentral:tRNA from 1 species